AGCACAGUUAGAAGCGUGGGAGAAAGAGAAUAAAGCUGAAGAGCUGGAGCCAGAAAAGAGAGAAGCAAACGAGAUAGAAACGAGAUGGAAGAAGGCACGUGUGGCAUCACUAUGAAACGGGGUGUUGACUGAGGUUACCUCAGACGAUGAACCCACUAAGUAAGUGCUCUCCUCUAUCUAAGUCCAGUCGGUAGACUUUAAAUUCCGUACCCU
rnacentral:lncRNA from 1 species